rnacentral:rRNA from 1 species
AUUGAACGCUGGCGGCAUGCCUUACACAUGCAAGUCGAACGGCAGCACGGGAGCAAUCCUGGUGGCGAGUGGCGAACGGGUGAGUAAUAUAUCGGAACGUGCCCAGUCGUGGGGGAUAACGCAGCGAAAGCUGUGCUAAUACCGCAUACGAUCUAAGGAUGAAAGCGGGGGAUCGCAAGACCUCGCGCGAUUGGAGCGGCCGAUAUCAGAUUAGCUAGUUGGUGGGGUAAAGGCCCACCAAGGCGACGAUCUGUAGCUGGUCUGAGAGGACGACCAGCCACACUGGAACUGAGACACGGUCCAGACUCCUACGGGAGGCAGCAGUGGGGAAUAUUGGACAAUGGGGGCAACCCUGAUCCAGCGAUGCCACGUGUGUGAAGAAGGCCUUAGGGUUGUAAAGCACUUUUGUUAGUGAGGAAGGUUGUUACUGCGAAUAGUGGUAAUGAUUGACGUUAGCUAAAGAAAAAGCACCGGCUAACUCUGUGCCAGCCGCCGCCGUAA